rnacentral:rRNA from 1 species
UACGUAGGGUGCGAGCGUUGUCCGGAAUUAUUGGGCGUAAAGAGCUCGUAGGCGGUGUGUCACGUCGGCCGUGAAAACCUGCAGCUUAACUGUGGGCGUGCGGUCGAUACGGGCAUCACUGGAGUUCGGCAGGGGAGACUGGAAUUCCUGGUGUAGCGGUGAAAUGCGCAGAUAUCAGGAGGAACACCGGUGGCGAAGGCGGGUCUCUGGGCCGAUACUGACGCUGAGUGCGCGAAAGCCAGGGGAGCAAACGGG